GGGAGCUUAGUUAAAUGGUAUAAUGCUGGUCUCCAAAACCAGCGUCGUAGGUUCGAUUCCUACAGCUCCUG
rnacentral:tRNA from 1 species